AUUCAGCUGACUAGUCCCAAGUUGAACGAAACGCGUGUCGUGGAU
rfam:Schistosoma mattheei strain Denwood, Zambia genome assembly, scaffold: SMTD_scaffold0002239